GCCCAUUCAGUCCCAAGAAGCUUGGCAAAGCCCAACUAAGAUGAUGCCUACAGAUUCCAAACUAGUUUUCACUCAUAUGAAUUUGUGUUAUUUUUGUUAUGUGAUAAUCCCACGCUUAUACAACUUAUCACCACCUUCUACUGGAGAAUAAUUAGUAGCAGGUUGCCUUGUUACAUUAGGACCUGUCUCUGAUGUAACAACUGCUUUGGGAUUCCAAUACCAGGGCUCAAGAUAAGGUGAAGAAAUUGAUGAUGAAAAAGAAGAAGGAUCAAGUAUCACUGAACCCCAAUCUCUGCUUCCAAGUUUUGCUUCUUUUAAUCUCCUCCUAAUCAGUAAGUUUCCCACAUCUUCCUUUCUCAUUUCUGAUACACUUCUAAGGAUUGAAAUGCACAGUAGAAUUGCCAGAACUGCAUCCUCUUC
rnacentral:misc_RNA from 1 species